rnacentral:rRNA from 1 species
GACGAACGCUGGCGGCGUGCCUAAUACAUGCAAGUCGAACGCAGUGGGGACGGGUGAGUAACACGUGGGUAACCUCCCAUCAGAGGGGAUAACACUUGGAAACAGGUGCUAAACCGAUACUGAUGGAUGGACCCGCGGUGCAUUAGCUAGUUGGUGAGGUAACGGCUCACCAAGGCCACGAUGCAUAGCCUGCCUGAGUGUGUGGUCCGCCCAACUGGUACUGAGCAACGGCCCCAACUCCUACGUGAGGCAGCAGUAGGGAAUCUUCGGCAAUGGACGAAAGUCUGACCGAGCAAGGCCGCGGGAGUGAAGAAGGUUUUCGGAUCGUAAAACUCUGUUGUUAGAGAAACGGUUUCUAACCAGAAAGCCACGGCUAACUACGUUCCAGCAACCGCGGUAAUAC